rnacentral:lncRNA from 1 species
GCAGUUUCGGCUGGUUGUACGCUCUCCGUUGCAGAGCACGUGUUUGUCGUCAAUAGCAGUCUAUUAGUGUGAAAGUAAGCGCUUCAAAAAUGAGCCCAGAAUCCAAACAAAAGGUGGCCAUCGUCCUUUUCGCCGCGAAGAAGGUGUUUCACUGGGGAUUCAUACCAACUGUGCUAUACUUAGGAUUUAGGAAAGGAAAUGAUCCAGGAAUGCCUGAAUUGUCACUACUCAGUCUUCUUUGGCAGUGAAGAGUUUCGUCUUCAGCAGCAUUCGUUUGCCUCGACUCGUCUUGCUCUCCAACAAAAAAACACGAUGCUGACUUUCGGACCCAUCUUCAUUCCUCAACAUUGUCCUUACCAUUUCUGGGCCAGGUUGUUAGGUUCAUUUAUGAACUAGCACUAUUGAUAUGAUCAUUAAAAUGUCUUUAGCUUCA